CAAAAUUAUCUGCGAUUGCGGAUCGGGAUCCACAAGCUGCUAUGGCCAUGAUAUUAAAUGAACUUCAAGAAACCAGAAAAGUUUCGUUUUGGAUUGGCUUUUGUGUUUCUUAACAAAAAUCAGGAUAUGGGAACGUGGCAGAGCUAUUGACAGGCCCUUUACCUACAAACGGCGCUUAUCAGAUCUUUUACAUGAAGACACUUUCACCUUUCCUUCGGACUUUGAUUCAACCAUAACAGCUUUUAGAUUAUCUAUAUGAUGUGGGUAUUUUGGACAGUCGAGCAGUACUGCGCAUAAAAGACAGAAAACAUUUUGGUAGAUUGGCACGCACAGACCACUUACUGGAAUGUCUACCCAACUCCCAUGCACUCUGGUAUGACCACUUUGUUCAGGCUCUUGUCAAUACCGGUGUUCACGAAGAAGCUGUGGCCAUGCUCAAUAUACCACACAUUCUAAACGACGGCGACGAUAAAACAAACGUAGAAAAAGUUUUUGCUCGAAACAAGAUAAUACAUAAUGAAAUUCCUUUCAAUAAGCACAGAGGUAAAACUUUUGAAAAAGAAGAUAAAAUCGAAUCAGAAGCAAAUAACAGUAAAAAUGAAGAACACAGAGACGCAAGAAGUCUGACUUAUAAUGAAGAAAAACAUGACGAUGAAGACGGUGACCUCAAUCAUAUUAUAGGGCAGGCUUUAAGCGAUAUUAGUGAUGACGAUGACGGUUCAAAUGCAACAUUUAGCUCCUUAGAUAUUGUGUCAGAAGUGACUCACCGAAAAGAGAUUGUCUCUGAAUCUGGUUGUUCAGACAGUGGAUUAGACUCAAUAAGUGUUUAAUACAAUAAGGAAUUGUAUGAUGAUCUGUAUGUGGACACUUCAAACCAACAACAGUGUGCAAAGUCAAAGGCCAUGAUAUUUAAUAACAUGUUGUAUCCAUGGGUGGAGUUUUACGACAGUUUAGUUUCCCGUGGUGAUGGUGACAUCAUUUUAUUGGCGGAGGUUGGCACAGAUCACUUUAAUGAUGAUUGUAGCCCCGACGUCUUGCCGCUUCAGGCGCUUAAUUCGGAGUUAAUGCGAAGUCUUAAUAACAACUCGCAUACAAUAUCUGCAGAGUGCACAUCGAGUACCAAUGGAGAUCAUU